UGCAUCGCUGCGUUCCCGAACGUCCAUUGGCUACACGAACGGUAAGUAUAAAAAAAUGUAUAAAGGUUGACGCACAGCCAAUCACGAUGCAAGGUUUUGUAUCGAACGAAUCGUAAUCAGGACAAGGCGGGAAGUCAUAGAAAUAUGACUUCCUAUUGGUCUGUUCUUAGAAAAGGCGUUGCCUUAAACCAUCUGUGUGUAAAUAAAUUUAAAUAUUUAACAAUAUGAAACGGGAUUUGCGGGCACGUUUAUGAAUAUGUAUGAGCAAUAAAGAAACAACCAAUCAGAGUAAACUAUAACGGCGUUCGUAUCGUCCCGCCUCUUUUACGAACAUUGCCGAUGUUUGCCGAAGGCUGUUUUCCUCGUCUAAGCAAAAGUAAAAAAAACUGUACUGUUCCGUCCGUCUCGUCCUGGAUCAGCUACGAGUGUUGGAAAAGAAGCUCGCGCGAAAGGCCUACCGUAACCACCGAAGAUUCAUACAUCAUUUUUUUAUUCAGCCUUUAUCUUCAGUACUCAAAAAUUAACUCUAACAAUGUUUUAUAGCACCCUUUUAAAUAUGACCGCUCAUUUUGUUAGCAAUUCAGAACGUUUGCUACUAUUUUAUGGGAAAUUGCAGGAAGCCUCGGAGUCGAGUUAAAGCACUGGCCGGACACCUGACAGACACUUUCGGUAUGCGCCGUUGGAAAGCCCCCGGAAAGCCUGCAGCUUUGUAACAAGUCUAUUUUUAGAUUUUUUUUUAUAAACAAAAUAUCACAAGUUAUCGUUUAAAGUUUGUCAGGCUGUUGCUUAAAACAGUGGUACGUAUUUUACGUUUUAAUCGUGUUUUAUAAAGCUUUUACGUUGUAGGCCGCGUGUGAGCCGCGAGAUCACGUUUAAUAACAGGAUUAAAAGAUAAACGCGUUGGUAAAUAUAUUACUUUAGAAAUAUCUAAUCGAGAUGUUCAGACUACAGACGGUUCGUUUAGUGAAUUGUGGAGAAAUAUUACGUUUGUGUCGCCUGUAACAAAAAUGGCGUUAGGUAAUAUGAGCCGCUUUAAAAACGCUCUAUAACGUAGAUAUUCGUGUUUAUGUCGUUGUUUUUAUAACGUGGUGUAAACUAAGUCGAAUUCUUUCGACCACGUCGAUGAAGCUCGUUUGGAGUAAAAUUUAUAUUUUGUAUUUAUUCGCGUUGUGAAGGAGAGUUAAAGCACAACAUGGCCGCCGUGCUGGUUAGCCUGUUAGCAUGUUAGCUUAGCACACUUGUUUCUCCACAACAGCAGUGAAGUGACCAGAUAAACGUCCAUUCGGUUCGAUAAAUCGACUAUAAAAUAACAUAGGGCAUAGAAUUUAAUCGUUUAAAUUGUAAUUAAUUGUUUACAAACGUAGAGUCGACGAGUUUUAUCAGUUAUGUUUUAGUUGUGUUUUAGUCUUAGUGUUUAUUUUUAUUUAGUAAUAAUGUUGUUAGCCGGUCGGUUUAACGGUUAUUGUUAAUAUUUUAAGUAUUAUAAUAAAAUCAGAAAUAACGAGUACUGGAUAAAUUGUAUGUUGUUGGAUCUCUAGACAAGUUUUGUUGCCGUGGUAUUGUGAUUUGAGGAAAUAGUGAUUGAGAGAGAAACGCACGUCGUUUUCUUGUUGCUAGGUCAUUUAGUAUAUUUUUAAGUAUGUAUAACGUGUAUAUGUAAUGUGGUGGUGGGAGAAUCGUCCAUAUCUUGCUCUUGCGCGCGCGCAAUGCUAAUGAAGCCACCUAGCAUAGCCGCUAUUCUAGCUUUUGUCUGUCUCCUGGUGUUGUUCACGACAUUAAAACAUACGAUACGUUUAUUUUAGACGAUUAUUAUCUAUAUAGAUUUAGUCUCAAUGAACGUAUGGUUAUUAAUAUUAGAUGACAGGCUAUCUUAAUCAGAUAACUAGUUCUCUUAGCCGGCUAACAGUAAAAGCUUUGUUAUAUGUAACUCGGGUGUGUUUCGCUUUGUCUUUCUGUCUUUGUCUCUCUCUUUAUGUAUACAUAUAUAUGUAUAUAUAUGUGUGUGUGUACAUGCAUGCUCGCUCCAGUAUACUUUAAUAAUUGUGUCUCUUGUGUGAAGUGCUAUUAUGUUUAGAAACGAAACGGCUGUAAUCCGUGUUCAGAGCUGUACUUGGUGUUCCAGUAUGGCGGAAGGCAGCUCUAAUAAAAAUGGAGUCUGCUCUGUUACUGGGUUGUUGUUUUGUAAGGAACAGAGAAGUCAGCCUGAGGAGUCAACUCCGCCACAGUCAAACACGUCUCCUUCCUUAUCAUCAUUAUUGUCGUUGUAGCCUCACACGUAUAAGAAUUCACUGCAGUCGGCCGAUUAUGUGACCCAGAUUGAAAAGAAAAAAUAAGUAGGAAUGUCUCGUGUGCCACGGAGGCAGGUUCAGAUCGUCUGCUUUAGGAGCAAGUCAGGUUAGAGAGGUCUUCUCAGGGGUGUGAUGCUUUUCAGGGGAAAAGUAAGUACAGUGCGCUCAGAAAGUGGCGUGAAGUCGCAGAGUGAUGUGACGGCACGUUCAUUUGCAUGUGGAUUUAUUCAUCGAUAUUAUUGUAUUAACUCAAUAAAUUCUACAUCCAUGUCAUGUAAUGUCUUCGAAAAUAAUCUGGGAUAAAUCGUAAACCGUAGGAAAGAGCAGAGGACGAGCUACUGUCUGUACCAAAAGUAGGCCGAACUGAAGAAUUUAACUUAAAGUAAUUGUUUUAUUUUCAUAUGAUUUACUUCAUGUGCAAACGUUACUAUUAAAACUGGCCACAUCGAUAUGCACAACUGUCAUAUUUUGACAGAAAUAAGCUGCUUUAUGUGAACUAUGAAGGAAACCUUAAUAUCUGGGUCUCCUGGCCAGUCAUAUUUGUCCUUUCACCCUAGUGACAUGACAUUUAGUGGCUCUCGACUGAGCCUCGUUAUAAACAGCUGGAGAUGGAGAAUAGUGAAUCCUGAGAGUUGCUGUUAAAAACAUUGAUUUACAAACACGACUUCCAAUAGGAGAUUUUUAGCUCCUCGGAAAGAUUCAGUUGUGCGUUUUAAAGACAAGGAUGACGGAAAUGGUUCGUCUGAUUCAGGGAGUUUGUCAUCAGAUGAAGAAAAUCUUCUUGAAGAUGGUGUCAGUUAAAACUUCUGAUCCACAAACUUGCUCAGCUGCUGCAGUCUACAUUACCCCUGUUUACCAACCUUUUUUUGGGAGGAUGAAGGCCAAAAUGCUAAACCACUGGACCUCUUUCAUCUGUGAUUUUUCAAAGGUUUUGGUGCAGGCAUGUUGCUAUAAUUCCAGCAAACAGGCAGCUCAAAUACUGGACACGGGCAAAAAGUACAUAUGGUCCGAUGUCACUGUAGGCCAGUUCUACAGAUUCGUUAGUCACGCAUCGGUGGUUCUUCUAAUACAUCCAGGAUUGUAGCGAGAAAGCCACUUCGACUCUGUCCCAUCUCCAGGAACAGUUGCGGCCAGGGAAAGGUUCAUAAGUUUCCUAGAAUGAUGGAGUGACCCAGACAAAGAUGUGGUGAAUCAUAGGAAGAACGAGACACCAGGCCAUGAGCAGUUGUUUCAUACAAAACGCAUUCUCGAUGAGAUUUGUGCCCCAUGUUAGGCAUAUUGCUAUCCACGAAGCGAGCCCUAAGUCCGGUAUGACCCAGGAUAUGAAGUCUAUAAAACGGAUGUUCAAACUUUGUGUUCGCUCCGAUGUCUACGUGAAUGAUUUGUGUUUACUAGGGAAAAACAAGGGUAACAAUUAGGACUGGAAUGUUUUGAGUGUUACGGCUGCCAUAAGUCCAGUUUACCUGAUAGCUGGUACGGAGCAUGUAUGUGGAUAUCUUUUAUUACAUUUCACAGACUUUGCACACCGGAGCUUGUGGAAAAUACAGCUAGAAAGGUUUAUAUUGAACGUUGAAUGGAACAUUGGUGAUAAGGGAUUAGACAUUAGGAUCCGUAGUGAUUCGAUACCGCAGUGAUUUGGUUUUUGGGUGCAGGUGAUCAGCAGUCGGUUAGUGGGGUCAGUACUGGGCGAUUGGACGUUAGGAACGUUGGUAUUUGGGAUCUAUGGUGAUUAAUGAUUGAUGGGAACAGGAGAGCAGUACGAGGCUAUUGGGCACAAUGUUAUUGGUUAGCUAGAUUUGUUACGAAUGGGGUCUUAAAUCUUCAAAUCUUCAUCCAUGUCUGCAACACUGAGUCUUCUUGUGGCUCUUCUUUCUCUUGGAGCAGGAGUUCUUAAUGGGUUCUCACCUUUUUUUUUUUUUUUCCUUUCUGCUCCCACACUCACCUUACUUUGUGGGUAUCAGGUUUCUCAGGGCAGGACAGACUCCUACACGGACUUUUAACUGUACAGACGUGUUAUCACAGGACCUAAAAUCAAACCGUAACACACCACACACUGAAACUUUAUACUCAAGCAAUGUCUUAACUCUGUAUGUCAGUCAUUUACAGCACAUAUUCCUCAUCCUGGUCUCAGAGAACUUCCUGUUCUGCAAAUUUUAUUUUAUUAUUUUUUUCAGCUCAACACACCGGAUUCAGCUCGGGAAAGGGUAUUAAUUAGUUGAAUCAAGCGUGAUGAGGGAAAGAGGAAAAACUCUCAAACGUACAGGACGGCAGGCUUUUAUGAACUUUUUAUGUGAGAACCACAAGCAGGAAAAUAUUUAUGGAAUUAUCAUAUGCCACAAUAUGAAGAGACGGCUAGAAGCGGUAGUGUUUGUAGGCAAAAGAUAUUUAGCUAAAUCGAGGUUUUAAAUUUCCGUCAAACUUUUAAUUAUGGAUUCUAACAAAUAAGCCCAGUGAAAUUAAAUACAAAGCCGUUUUUGUGCCAAAAUGCAGACCUGCCAACCUUUUACGCAUUUUGUGUAGCAGAUACGCAUUUAGACAUCAAAGUACGCUGCUACGAUUUUUCUCUUCAAAAUACGCAUUGUAAAAAAACGUUGAUGCCUUUGAGUUCAACUGUCUGUGCAUUUGUGCACCAGGCAGUGCGCCUAUGGGUGUAACGGCAUUGGGCAGCAACCUGGGAAAAUAAUAAUUCGAACCAAUCAUAGCGCCAGUUUAAAACUCUUCAACGCUACAAGCAGAGAGCCGUCAAAACGAAUGUGAUUUUCAUCUGUCUCUGUCUGUCUUCAAUUCUUCUUACAGUGACUGUUUUUGUUUUUUUUUUUUGUUUUUUUUACACAAGUGACGACUUAAUGUUUCAAAGGUAAAUGGCCAGAAUUGUAAGUUUCAUCCAUUUUAAUAAUCCUGCCGAACCACAGCCGUCGUUAGACUCCUUUACUGUGGCAUGUGCCCAAGUGUCCGGUGUUGUGCCUCAAGUUUAAGUUUUACGCACAGACCACGUUUUACUUUAUUUGCCAGUAUUUAUAUAGGAAACGUAAGUCAUGUCUGUAAACGCGUUGCCGUCGUACUUUAACGUAAAAGACAAACUGGCACGAACACGCAGAAAUCAAUAUCCGCGAGUGUGUGUGUCCCUUUUAUAGCAAGCAGUCAUGCUAUAACAUGACGAAACUAAUGUCAUUUUUUAAUUAUCAAUCGUAUUCUGACUCUAUUGUUACUGGCUCCUGUACAUCACAUCUGAUGGACAUCAGAUUUUUUUUGUAAAAAGCAGGGAAAUAGAAGCAGAAUGUAGAAAUGAUGAGGGAGGUAUUAUUAUAUGAUCAGCCAGUCAAAACCAUAGUGAAGUCUAGAGUCUUGCAUUAUUGCUGAGAAAAUUAACACAUGUAUGUGUUGUCAGACAUGAAGUUACUUUAGUUCAUUAGAUCUAAUUUAUGGCAAUACAUAAAGAGUUGUUAAAAUAGUAUGCAGAUAUUAUACACAAAGGAUCAUGCACAUACUCUUUAUUUUAGUAGCAGCCAAGUAUUAUUGUACAUUUUGUACAUCAGUACUGUAAAAUGCGAAUCUUCUUACAUGCCAUUAGUGCCUUAAAACAUAUUAAUAAUGUACAAAGUGUUUUCAUGCAAAUGCGCAUGGAAACCUAUUAUGAAAAACAUGAGAAUGAUGAUGAGGUGUGUGUUUUGUGUGUUCCUUGCAGUUAGUAAUACACAUGAUGUCAGAUGAGGAUACUGACAGAGAGGGAGAGGGAAGCAAAUCUAAAAAGAAGCGAGUAUAUGCCCCUCAGAAGUUCCUGACCGGUGUCGUGCCUCAAGUUUAAGUUUUACGCAUAGAUCAAGUUUUACUUUAUUUGCCAGUAUUUAUAUAUAUAUAUAUAUAUAUAGCUUGUGAACUUAAUCAACACUGACUAGCAAAUGUGCCUGACCUCGCGCUGCGUUGCUGCAGUAAGUUGCUACUCAAUAGAUUUUUUCCAAGGUUGGCAGUUCUGCAAAAUGUUGUCACAGUACUUUACUUCACCACUUCCUUUUCUUUAAUCUUUUUUUUUUUUUUUAAUUGAAAAGCACAACACCUCAAAACAAUGUCCCUCAAGCUAGAGCGAGGUCUAUGGUGUAGGGCGUUACACAUCAGAGACUCGUCCUGCCGCUGGUCCUCUGGUCCUGGAGAAACCCACAUGUUUUAGGGACUUUCUCUACUUUAGUACACCUGAACCAGAUAACGGCUUUAAAUUUACAGCUGGUUCUCAGCUGACUGGUGUGUUGGACAGAUGUCCAGGACAGACGGUUCUCCGUGUAAAGGAUCGGGAACGUGUGAUGAAUUCUUCCGAUAUUUCUCUAGUGUGAACUUUGUGUGCGCUGCAUCCGGGUGUUAUGGUUUUGUAAUCGUGAUUAUUUGCUAAUCUAGUGUAAAAAUAUCACAGGAGUAGGCAACAGUUUAUAAAGGCACGACGUAUUGUGAAAUGCUCAUCUCGCACGUUCUCGUAUACAAACCGGACAGAAAGAUACGCUUCCCACGAUAGGUCUGUUUUUAGAAAGAUCAAGAUUCUGACUUAAAAUCUCUUUUCCCUGCUCUUCUGAAAUUCAGGAACAUGCUCAGAUUGUCGCAUCGCAGCAAGAUUCAAAUCUAAUUCAGUUUUAACACUUUAAAAAAUAACACACACCAGCGACCUAUCAGCCAGGCCGUACACGGUGAUUUACCGUGAACCGAUGAUCACGUUCUUAUCGUAGCUUUAUUUUUAGUUUCUUUACAUUUUGACAUUGUUACACCCCUUUACUCAGUCCUGAACUGAUAGCAAGCCCUUUUCUUCAUCACAAAUCCAAACCUUUUUGUAUGCUAACUAUUAAAAUUUUUUUUUAAUGUAUUUUAUUUUAUUUUACACAAAUGUGCUUAAUAGCUUUCUGACACCACAUUUGGGUGCACGUGCAUGUAAAGUAAGCUAGAGUUCAACGACAACAAAAAAAACACGUUUUGUCGGAAGACAUGGGCAUGUAAUAUCUUGUGUGGCGUGUUUCAGCCUAAUCCCAUGUCAGGACAGCGUCAGUGCAAGUGUUAAAUGUAUUUUCUGCUGGAAAACACUCGAUUAGAGUGGGGUUUAUUUAAAUUUUUUUUUUCAGGAUUUUUUUUUUAUGCUUCUUUUCCCAUCAGAGCUCUUGGCUACUUCCCACUGCACCAUAGCCAUGACUUCCUGUUGAACCUGAUCUCAGAAUAAAGAUCUCACUUUAACACCAUA